rnacentral:rRNA from 1 species
UACGUAGGGUGCGAGCGUUGUCCGGAAUUAUUGGGCGUAAAGGGCUCGUAGGCGGUUUGUCACGUCGGGAGUGAAAACUCGGGGCUUAACCCCGAGCCUGCUUCCGAUACGGGCUGACUAGAGGUAUGCAGGGGAGAACGGAAUUCCUGGUGUAGCGGUGAAAUGCGCAGAUAUCAGGAGGAACACCGGUGGCGAAGGCGGUUCUCUGGGCAUUAACUGACGCUGAGGAGCGAAAGCGUGGGGAGCGAACAGG